CACCCUCAGGAUGGCACCUGGAGAGUUUUUGUUACUCUACCAGUCUCAGCUAUGGGAGGGGAAGUCAAGCAGAGGCAUACCCCUUCCAUUCCUAGCUUGGGUAAUGGCUAGCAAGUGGAAGGUAAUCUGCUACAAGU